UUGCUUCAUUAGCACAUAUGCUAAAAUUAGAACAAUAUAGAGAAAAUUACCAUGGCCCCUGAAUAAGGAUAAAAAUGCAAAUUUGUGAAGCAUUCCAUAUUUUU
ensembl:snRNA U6 U6 spliceosomal RNA